rnacentral:misc_RNA from 1 species
GAUGAAGAACGUAGCGAAAUGCGAUAAGUAAUGUGAAUUGCAGAAUUCAGUGAAUCAUCGAAUCUUUGAACGCACAUUGCGCCCCCUGGUAUUCCGGGGGGCAUGCCUGUUCGAGCGUCAUUUCACCACUCAAGCCUCGCUUGGUAUUGGGCAACGCGGUCCGCCGCGUGCCUCAAAUCGACCGGCUGGGUCUUCUGUCCCCUAAGCGUUGUGGAAACUUUCGCUAAAGGGUGUUCGGGAGGCUACGCCGUAAAACAACCCCAUUUCUAAGGUUGACCUCGGAUCAGGUAGGGAUACCCGCUGAACUUAAGCAUAUCAAUAGCGGAGGA